CUAAUUUGAUCUUCAUCUUGGCUUAAAUUAGUACACAAAGUUUGUAAAUUUGUCGUCACACCUGGUGAGUUUUUUCUUCAGGCAUGGACUGACAAUUUCGCAACGGUUGGGCUGAUGGACUGGCUUAUAUAACUCAGUGUCCAAUCCAGACCGGUAGCAGCUACAUUUAUGAUUUUAAUGUAACAGGACAAGGGGGUACAUUAUGGUGGCAUGCACAUAUUCUUUGGCUAAGAGCAACUGUACAUGGUGCAAUUGUUAUUAUGCCAAAACAAGGAACCCCAGUUCCCUUUCCGCAGCCAGCUAGGGAAGAAACUCUGAUCUUGGGUGAGUUUAUACAAUCGACAAUUAUUGAUGAAAUAGAACUAGAAUUAAGCCGAGUAAAUCAUGAAUCGGUACGUAUUAAGAUCUAAUUUUGUUGAGAGUACAGGUGAAUGGUGGCAUGCAGAUGUAGAAGAGGUUGUCAAGCAAGGAAACAGCUUGGGCUUGCCUCCUAAUAUGUCUGAUGCGCAUACGAUCAAUGGGAAGUCAGGGCCACUCUUUCCAUGUUCCGAAAAACAAAGGUUAGUAGUACUAAUUUUUGAAAGACUAUGGUGCCAUAUGAGAAGAAUACACUGAAAUUAAUAUCUUGAUCAAUUUUCUUCUUGGCUGAUACUUUUGCCAUGGAGGUUGAACAAGGGAAGACAUACCUCUUGAGAAUCAU
rnacentral:lncRNA from 1 species